UGCAGCUAGGGCGGGGCGGACAGGAACGCUUUGGUGGAGAGUUACCCAGAGGGAACCCCACAGACAGCAUUACGAACACCUGGCGUUUGUGAAGAGCUCUUUGCCCGUUCAUACUUUUUUUUUUUUAAAUCUCAUUUGAUUCCCCUCAAUAACCCUGGGUUGUGACAGGGGACAGGGCCCGUGUGAUUAUUCCCAGUUUAUAAAUGCGGAAACUAAGGCUUCAGAGCCUAAUUAACUUGCCAUGGGCCACACAGGUCUCCUGACUUGCAACCGAAAGAUCUUUCGUCAGCGCCAGGCUGGCUCCCUACCUAACAAGGUGUUAGCCUACCUAGCAAGGUGUUAGCCGGAAGGAUGCGCCCCAGGGCAGGGUGGAGAGCUCCGGCUGGAGGAGGACGGGGGAGAGGGCAGAGAAGGACAAGUUACUCCUGCACAGCGCCAGCGAGAAACAGGCAGGAGUGGAGAGGACUUUACUUCGGGUCAGAGAGGACCUAGGCCUGUGGAAUGAUGUACCUAUCCAAUUCCCCUUGGCCCUAAGCUGUCCUGCUGGAAGCUCCAGCAGUCUAAACACUGGGAUGGGUGGGGACGUGUCACCUCUACUCCGGGGAGGGAGAAACAACCUUCACUUUACUCUUCUUCCUCCAGCUCUCUCUGCAGAGCUUCUGACAAAGAGGCUAGAGGUCUGGGUGAGCUUCUCUUUCUUUUUCUGUUGGUCAUCUCUUUACAAAUUGGAAGAUAAACCUUGCCAGAGUUACAAAUUGGGAGGAGAAACAUUCCAAGAGAUCUGAAUAAACUAACCCUAGAGUAUUCCGGCCUUUGAGUAAUCAAUCCAGGAUUAGCAAAGUCAUAAAAAGCACCAUGAAUUUAGUCAGCAAACAUUCAUAGAGCAUCCCCUGUGUGCAAAGCACCGUGCUAGGUGCCUUAGGGAUAGAGAGGUGACUCAACUCUGGUUACAGUCAGGGAGGGAGAGGAGCUAAGCCACUAAUUCCAGUUCAGAGCACAGUUCAGUCAGUGUUCAAUAGAGGUCCAAAGAGAGCGUUUUGGGAGUUUGGAGAGAGGAGGCAUUAAUUCCCACUGUAAGGGCCAAAAAGACUCUAGAGGUUGAAUCUGGGGCCAGCAGAGAAGGAGGAGUCAGAAGAAAAGGAGGAUGGACUAAUAUUUAUUAAGCAACAACAAUAUGUCUGUGCAUCUUAUUGUCACAUAACCGUUUUGAGGAAGAUGUUAUUCUCUCCACUAUAAAGGAGAAAUUCCUACAAGUAGAAUUGCUGGGCCAAAGGAUAAACAUUUUUUCGCUAAGGAUUUCUGAAAUCUGAGUCUUCAGCCCCUGCCUCCCUUCCCAGUUCCAAGCUUACCCCUGUCUACUGGAGAACUCCCCAUGGAUGUUCCUUGGUAUCCACCAGCACCCCAGAUUCAGAACUCCCAGAUCUUAGAGUGAGCUGUCUCCACAGUCUGCUGAACUCUUUGAGGGCAGAAUUGGUAUCUUACUCAUUCUUGUGCCCCAUACCUGGCACAUAGGAGGGACCCCUUGGCUGUCUGUUGGAUAAAGAAAUGGCAAAAUGGCACCCUUUCUCCUCCCAAACCAAUGAGCUUUGCUGAGAGCAGAUCCAGCACAGAAGACAGCCAGAGCCAUGCCGGUUGGCAGACACUUGUCUUUAGCAAAUGUAAUUAAAGGCAGCAGCAAGCAUCCCACCUGAUGAGAAAACAGUCUUCCACUCAACACAGAGGACUGAGGGAAGAGCGCUAAACCUGGGGUCAGAAUACCUGGAGGUUCUACACCAGCUCUACCACUUUCCAGCUGUGUGAUAUCCGACAGGUCACACGUCACCUCUCUGAACUGCAGUCCCAGCAAGGGUAACUGCUCUCCUACCCUUCACGAUUCGUUAUGAGGAUCCGGACAAUGGUGUGAAAUUCCUUUUCAAAUUAUCCACCAUUAUGUAAAAUGGGAAUCAUUCUUGAUAAUAGCGAAUUAAUAAAGUCAUUCUUAAUAAA